GGGGCGGUGGCGCAGUUGGCUAGCGCGUAGGUCUUAUAAUCCGGAGGUCGAGAGUUCGAACUUCUCUCACCCACU